UCUCCAAGCCUCUCCACAAGUUAGUGCCAGGGCUUGGGAGAAACAAAGUGUUCUCCCUCAGCCUGGGCUGCUCAGAUCCUCAUUGGAAAGGAUCUACAGUGGCUACAAUAACCAAGUGCUACAAAAAUGCUGUGACAAGGAAUCUGAACAACAGAGAUUUGAGGGAAACAAAGCACUUUCGACGAAGGUUCUGCUGCUUGUCUUCAGCUCAGUACCAAUUAGAGCUUCACUGGAGGUGAAAAGGACAGACGGGGUUGCUGAGUGGCUGGUUGGAGAGUCCCUGAGAGAUUACCCAAGAAACUCAGUUGCAACACAUGGUGGAGCAGCCUCUCAGGAGAUUUUUAGGAAUGCAAGAUGAAAAGAGCUAAAUAAAACUAUAGGAAAUGGAGACUGUUACCAGCAUCUAGCUUAGGAUGGAGAGCCAAGCAUGGCUCUCAGGUGCAACUCACAUGGAGAUGUGGCUCUCAGGUACAAGGUACCACUCAGUUUCAGAUGUUGCAAGAAAAGAAGCAAAAAAAA